rnacentral:lncRNA from 1 species
UGACUUUAUAAGAGAAUGGUCUCUUUGCUCUUCGCCCCUUGUCCAUUCCGCGCUUACUUGCCAAAGCUUGUCCACCCACCGCCCAUGCCCCUCUUCCUUCUGAAAAAAAAAGUCAGCCCCUAUACUUCUUUCUUACCUAACAGCCUCGUAGACGCGGGGAAUCGCUAAAAGUAUGUUUGAACGGUAAGGAAAGAGUCAGUUCGAGUCACUCUGCCUCUCUUAUACACUAUUUUCAGUUCCUUCCUUGGCUGACUUUUAUUAACAUAAAAUCUCUGUCUCGCCUUUAUCCCGCUUCUCCUAAGUUCCCUAAACCCCAACCUUCAAAGACUAAAACUCUUUCCCUUGUCUACUAAAAAAAGACACUACAAGAUCAGAUGAACUUCUCGAUUUCGAUUAUACGUCGUUCCUCUCUAUUAUUUUGGGGGCGCCCUCCUCGGUGACAAGAAUACGUUUCCAUGCAUCUUACUUAGAUUUUAAGAGCAAUAGCAUUCAAGGUGACUAUAACGCUUAAGACCGAUGAUCCAACCAAGACCGCGAUGGCCUUAGCUUUAGCGGCCCUAGUUGAUUGACUUGCUACCGCUAACUCGCUGUGCGCUCCCCCCGGCGCUUCGACAACAUUACCGCCUACAUCUGUACUACUUAUUCCGUCCUGAAUAGAAGCAUGGAGAGUCCGCCUUAGAUCGUCAAAAUCUAAAGCGGGCACGAACGGUUGAUUUAUUGUUGUACCAUGCUCUGGCAGGGCGGUCAACCAAAUGAAAAAGCCAAUGAAUAGAGGCGGCAAUAGAAGAUUCAAGACUGAUAACAAGACUCCCUUCGGAAUAGGCAAGACUACGGGAUUACGAAUCGCAACAUAAGGAUGAUUCGGAGAAAGAUUCACCUCUGGCAGAUUGGAGGAGAGAUUCCACUUUUGCAUUAAGAUAUACCGCUUGGGGACUUUUUCCCCAACGAAAUGACCCAAGCCUCGUUUGGGGGAACUAAGGUUGAGGUGCCCCCACUCUCCUCCUUCAAUAGGGCGGUAGAAGAUAGUGGGCCCGAUCGAGACCUUGACAACCCUUAUGGCCUUGAUCCCUUUCCCGCGGGGGAGUGCUCUAUUCAAUAAGUGCCCCUUGAGCCCUUUCUGGCCUGCCCAGAAAGCCCUUUGCGCGGUACUUUCGACCAAGAAAGAAUAGGUCAUGCUGGUAGCCGGAGGCAUCCCUCUCUUCAGGCUAGGUGGGUCCCCCCGUUCCGGCUCCCAUCUUGAGAAGAGAUCGUGAUUGCGACUGUCCGUCAAAAUCAGUCGCAAUCUUUUGGCAUAAUACUGGAGCAGCUGCUUUGAGUCUGCGCGCGCGCUAACCCGAGCGGGACUCAAAAUCUUCCCCCUCCGAUUAAACAUAUCUUCCCCUCCUUUGAGGGAUUGAAUAUUCAUCUCUUUGUUAGGAAUAUAAAAAGUGGCAAACAUUUCGAUCCUUCCUUUUACUAGUCUUCACGGCUGGAAUCAUAAAUGCAUUGUCUCCUUUUUUUUUGUUUCUUUGCUACCCCUGCUACCUCUCAUACCUGUUUCCUUCUGUAGUAUGAGUUGAGAAGAAAACGGAUUCAAUCCAGCCGUAGGUAGGGACGCCCACGGCUACCUUGUUUCGAACGAAUCGGAGAAGGGAUUGCACCCCACCCCUAGGAACGGGAACGGAGUUUGUCAGAGCUCGGGUAAGCAUUUUCUGACCGGCACGCUGGACCCUUCUAACAGAGGAAAGUCCUUUCCGACGGGUUUUUCGUAUUAGGCCAGGUCACUCUCAGCUAUACGACUGACACAAUUAGACUGAGGUAUGGCUGAUAAGAAAGCGUAGUGGCUAGCUACCGCUGAUUGCUUCGGGAAUCAUCCUCCAUGGUGACUGCAUGGAGGCCGGCUUGUCGAGGCCAACACCAUCCAGCCUGGUAUCGGAAUCGAGCGUGCAGGAACCGAGAUGCCGAGUUGUGGUCAGCGCGAACCGAAAUGAGGAAGAAGUCCCGACCAUCUCGAUUCCGGUGUGCAGAGGCCAGCUUUCCGCUCAGUACUUUAGGGCUCGGACAAGCAACGAGCCGGCUUCACGGCGCCCGAGGUGGCUUCCGCUCAGGAACAGAACAGGAAAAGGAAGUAGUAAUCCCGCAAAAUACACUACUCUCAAAAUAUAGACAAAGCUGUUCCCUUCUAAUGUAUGCCCCCGGUAAGGGGGGAAAUAUAUGACAUACACCUUUAUCCUUUCGUGUGAGAAAGAGAGAAGAAUUUUUUGAUGAGAACUUCUUCUUCUUCUCAUAGCACGAAUCCGGAUAAAAGACAUAAGACACGCGCGGGUCACUAUCUGUUCUUCGACCGCAAGAGGAGCUGAUUGAGAUUGUUUGAGCAACUCGCGUAAUCGUUGACCUCUUUCCAAUUGAUUCUGAAUAGCUUUAUCGAGAUCAGAAGCGAAUUGUGCAAAGGCUUCUAACUCUGCGAAUUGAGCUAGUUCCAAUUUUGAUUUGCCGGCUACUAGUUUCAUGGCUUUAAUUUGAGCUGCAGAUCCUACUCUGGAAACAGAAAUAAAAAAAUGAAUAGCAGGUCGGAUUCCAGCAUUGAAUAGAUCGGCGGAUAAGAAUAUUUUUCCAUCUGUAAUGGAAAUGAAAUUUGUAGGAAUAUAAGCUGAAACGUCUCCAGAUUGAGUCUCAACUAUUGGUAAAGCGGUCAUACUUUCUUCAUCUAAACGAGAACGUCGAUUUAGCGGCUCUUUCCAAAAGGCGUGAAUGCAAAAAAAAACAUCUCCUGGAUAAGCUUCACAACCAGGGGGUCUUAUUAAUAGAAGAUCAAUUUGGCGAUAAGCUUGUGCCUGUUUGGAGAGAUCAUCAUUUAUUUUAUAAUAAGUAUGUCGUUCACGGUACAGAAAAUAUUCAGCCAGAGCCGCUCCUGUAUAAGGAGCGAGGUAUUGUAAUGUAGCAGGUGAAUCCGCCGUUUCGGCUACCACAAUAGUGUAUUCCAUCGCUCCUCGUUCCUGGAAAGUAGUCACUACCUGAGCCACAGAAGAUGCUUUUUGACCAAUAGCUACAUAAACAUGUAUGACAUUUUGCCCUUUUUGGUUAAGAAUCGUAUCUGUGGCUACUGCUGUUUUGCCGGUCUGUCUGUCCCCAAUAAUGAAUUCUCGCUGACCGCGUCCUAUCCUAUAGGGAUCAUCGAAUCAAUAGCAAUAAGCCCCGUUUGAAGAGGCUCAUAUAAUAUACACGGAACGUCUCGAAAGAAUACCUGGGGCAGGAGAUUCAAUUAACCGAGAUUCAGAAGCUGAAAUUUCACCUCUCCCAUCAAUAGGUUUAGCCAGAGCAUUUAUAACACGACCCAAAUAAGCCUCACUCACAGGUAUCUGAGCAAUUCUUCCUGUUGCUUUUACAGAACUUCCCUCUUAUAUCAUCAAACCAUCACCCAUUAAUACAACGCCAACAUUAUUUGAUUCAAAAUUCAGAGCAAUGCCUAUUGUACCCUCUUCAAAUUCUACUAAUUCACCUGCCAUUACUUCAUCAAGACCAUGAAUACGAGCAAUGCCGUCGCCUACUUGAAGUACGGUGCCGGUAUUCACAAUCUUUACUUAUCUAUUAUAUUGUUAAAUACGUGCACGGAAAAGAUGACUUUCAUCGUCGGCUCGAAUGGUUUCAUGGUUGGAAGGUAGAGUGAGUCUGGGGAGGCCCGGAUGAAUGAUUGAGUCAGACUAUCUGGUAGAGCUUAAGAGCUUUACAACGCGGGCUUGGUUUAAGAUUUACCAAGUUACGAAGGCCGGAUUGAUUGAAGUGGGUGAUACGAUAGGAAAGGAGCCGAGAUUUGGCUAAGUAAGGAAGAAACAACUUAGUAUCCAAUUUCACUAAGUGAGGCCACUACUACGAAGUUGCGCGGAUACGAUAGCUUUCUUCAAAGACGCGGACGGAGGCUAAGUGGCAGAAAUCGCAAGCUUUUCAAACGUAAGGAGCAGUCGUCGUACGGACAACUACGAAGUAGAGGCCAAGGGGGCGGUGCGACUUCGUAGAAGUCAGAAGAUAGAAAGAAGUCCGAAAGAGAGAAGGCAGGGUCACGUCACGCGGCUCGUAGAGAAAGAUAACGUAGAAAGAAGUAGGCGAAGUAAAGAUUCAGUCGAUCAAUCUGCUUUCUGUCUUCAUUUCAAUCCCAUCCUUCUUUUCUUCUUUCCGUUACUCUCCAUUACAAAAGGCGAACAGCUAUUACUUUAGAGGCUCAUCCGUUUAAUUACCCCUCUGGGGGCACGGGGAAGGGAAUAGGACAUUCAUAUGGGUAUAGUGUAAUCAAGGGAGGAAAGCAAAAAGAGUGAUUGAUCAGGUAUCAUUUCGAUCCUGAUAGAAGAAGAGUACGCGCACUACGGCUUUUCAGCCUCCGUUUGCUGGAAGGCAAAACUCUUUUUUUUUUUUCUUUUCUCGACACUCAUAGAGUGGAUUCCAUUCCGAUGGGGCAAGAGUGGGAGACCCAUAUUGAGAUAAAGAUCCCGCGCCGCUAUUAAUAACCCUGGAUUCUUAACCACCAAAAGGAUAGGGCUUUAUCGGCCACAGAAACGGAAGAGCCGUCACAUGACAGCCCUAAAUAGUUAUAGGCUCUGACCGAAGAGCAAGCGAAGCGAGUCAAUUGCGUUGAGGCCAAAAUGCUUUGUCCGGACUCCACCCAAAAAAGAGAAAAAAAAACCAGCUCGGACCGUACCGUUGAGUUUGUUGCCCAUUUUUAGUAUCACAGUUGGGAGAAAGAAAUAAAGGUGAAAAGAUUAUACUUCUAAGAAGAGAGAAUUUGUUGGGAUUGUGGACUUUAGAUCAAGGAGUAAAUCGGAGUUUCAAAUCCGGAAGGAAGAUUGAGUUCGUAACCAUUUUUUCCUUUAAACUUGUAAACACUUUCGAAUCAGAGCCUUACCUUACAUCAGGUAUUGAUCGUCCCUCGACUGAAGCAGUGUCGGAAAGACGAGCGAGGUUUCCACUUGUGCUUUUCCCGGAUAGGUCAUUCUAAAGCAGGAACACUAUUUUGGACAGGAGUCGCGUACUUCUUAUAAAGGCCGACAAAGCUCUCUAGAAAACAGCCGCCGGAAGCCACACAUGGAAAGUCAUGUUCCUAGAGUAAGGAUUUCCACUCUUUUUUUUUCCGAUGAGAAAAACGAGGUUUAUUUUUUCCCAUUCCUCCAAACCCACAACAUGAACCUUUUUAUAUACCUAUUAAAAUGUACCCAGAACAACCGUCGACUCAUAAGCUAUGGCAUGCAGGUAUAACCGCCUAACGACCUAGAUAUUUCAUAAAGAGCUAUUUCUAUUGAGUUACCAAGCCCACCGAGAUCUAUUUCAGUAUUCGAAACACUACCGGGGCUCACCUCCCCUACUAAUCAAAAGCUCUUCGGGACAUCAGGCGAGAAACAACUACUCCGCCCAUCCACAGCUAUUAUGAUGAUAGAGAACCCGGGACACAGGAAUCACCUGGAUCUCAGCAAAGGGAGAGGAACCACUACGUACAGAGUUUGUAAAACAGCAACAGGGACAAGCCCACCGGGUUGAAAACCACCAUACUACCUAGAAAACCUAAACCUUUGUACAUGAAUGAAUGCACACUCACUACUCCCUAUAGUUAUCUAUCUAUCCAGAUAUAUACGAGAUCUCCUACCUAUCAGUCACCAACUUGAUACAUACGGGAACAACCCACCAACACAUCAAAGAUAAGUCUUAUAUGCAUUUUGAGCAUGGCACCGGUAGCUCUAAUAGCGAAGAAAAGGCGUGCGAGGACCCAUAGCUCCAUUUCACAGUCCUAUAAUCUAUGCUGUGCUGCAUUUCCAACACACUGGACCUUAGCUGUUCUCAGUAGGGGAAAUAGCGACUUCUAGCCGCAUGAAAUCAUGGAGUUGGCUUCUUCGUUACCUCGGGUUGGGAUUUUUCCCCUAUAGAAGAGAUGGCUCCCGAUCAUAAGCCACAGUUUUCUCAUGACUUGCAUAAUAAUAUUCCGGCCGGCCGGCCCUGUUUCGUCUUUCGAUCUUGGCAAAGAAGUUUCUAACCAGCACCAACUCAGAUUUAAGACGGCUUGCUAGUCGAAGAGGCAGUUGAUGUCAAUCUCGCGAGGACAGCCCCAAGAUGCCUCAUCUCCACCAUAAAAAGUCAUCCAUGUCAUUGUCGCGGAAGACUACCAUUCAAGAAUAAGAGCUUUUUCUCUUUGAUUUCGCUGGAUCCGACUCCAUGGAUCAUUUGGGACCCAUAAAUAGUCAAGUGCCAGCCAUCCGACGAGGAAAAAUAAGUCAUAUAAGAGCUGAAUAAAGAGAAAGAAGUGGUUGCUUGUUUGUUGCCAAGAAGAGGACCUAAGCGCUAGCUCUAUCCCGUCCCACUGGACUGCCCAGAUAUCAAUGCUCUCUCUCUCGUCUCUUGUCCUAGAGCGCGCCUCAUCAAGCCUAAUUCUCACUAGGGGGAGCCUUCGCUCCGCCUUCGGAGACUGUUCCGUAUGCUCUCCCUUCAUCUGUGCCUUUGACUGAGCUGUAUUCGACCUCUGUUUCCAUCAACGAUGUAACUAGAUCCGGUCGAAUAUACCAACCUGCUCAGUUGAGAGGAGCUGCGCCAGCCAUGCCAGAAGCGCAUGCACCCGCGCCAAGCAAGAAGGGGAGAUAUCCAAGAAACCUAUGAUGUGGCCCAGCAUUUGAAAAGGAUCCCGGCCAAAAUCUAUAAUCUCUAUUUUUGAUCUGUCUUUUGCAGACCUCGAAAUCUCAUCGCGAAGCCUUCCUCCAGGUCUACAAAAUGCUCAUGUCUCGCAAGGCACACCCCUCUAUAUAAUCUCCAAGAGAUGAUUGGCCAACUAGUGGCCCCACAGCCUAACAUUUUCUUUUCUCUUUCUAUUUUCAUUCUAGAUAGAGCAGUAAGAAGGAUCUCUUAUGCAAGCUUUCUUGAUGAAGGGUACCUCUUUCUAAAACAAAUUGUAAUCUUCCCUUCCUUUUAUAAUGGAUUUUUCUAGCCUCAAUGGCUAUAGCAUUUUCUAAGAUAGCAAUCCAAUCGUAAACCGUAAUCAGUGACACACAAAAGCCAAAUCAUAAACUUCGGAGCGAGUUCAAUAGUUUUCGAAUAGCUUCCGUCGAAUUACGCUUGAUGAUAAUUAAGUAGUGGAGUGGCAAGCAAGAGCAGAAGGAGGAAGGUGAGUAGGGUUGGUGAAAUGAUGCAAAAAGGCAUGAUGAGAUCUGAACCCCUACCUUGACUAAGAGAAUUAGGUUAUUCUUUUGCAGUUGGUCUUUGGUGCCUAUCCAUCCUAUGCCUCGUACGUAGUAUAAAUCAGAACUGAAAACUCUUUUAUACCCGGAAAAAACUUUUAUUCAUUCCCUUGAUUUGGCUAUUCAUUCUAGCAACAAUCGUCAAACACGGCAUAGCAACAGCGGCUAGCUACUUCCUUAAGUUAGAAGCAGAGGUAGGACUAGUCUGGGUAUGAAUCAAAUCCUUUCCUAGGGUGAGUCCUUAUGUAAAUGUAAGUAGAAGGCAGCCAUCUAAGAGAUGUUACUAGUCUGUAUGCAAAGCCUCCUAGUCCCAUCCCCUUCUGUAAUAGGAACUCCCUGCGGGCGCUAUCCUAUAAGCAGACGCAACUAGAAGACAUUAUUGUCUUUAUCUAAGUUAGAGGCUUUUAUAUAGCUUAAACCCUUUCCUUUUCCCAGGUAUUCAAAAUAAUCUUUCUAAAGUGCGGAUGAGAGAACCAGACAGCUUCACACCUGAAGGGACGAUUAGAGGGUUUAGCAGAAUGCAUACCUUCCAUGUAAAUGAUCAUAGGAUAGUAGUCUGAGGUGGUACGAGGGAUGUUUCCAACCACAGCUUAUGGUAAAAUCUCUUUCAACUUCUACUUUACUAAGGCUAGAUCCAAUCGAAGCAGCGUCUUAGCUAACCCUUCCCUACCAUUGGUCCAAGUGGUCUAGGACUACAGCAUGCCAAAUCCAUUAGACCACAACGAUGAAAUUUGAUGCAAACUGAAUCAGAACAGUCUCUGAUUCAGACUGGAUUUCGAACAUCGUCCCGGUUCAACAUAUAAACCUAUUUCUUGGUCAACAACCUAUAAAAAGGAAAACAAAUAUUAGUACAGGAAGGACUCUUUUUUUGUACGGAGAGAAAAUAAAAGCAAAUGAGCUAAUGGGAAUAUUUAAAGUUCAUUUUUUUAGACAACUAUGCUGACAAUUCUUAUAUAUGUUGUUUGCCCUCGCGGGGAUACCUGCGCGGGAGAGGAUACCUCUCAUCUUUUUUUAUUCCAAUAAUGAAUGCAUUUUUUUAUUGGCAAAAGUGCCAUCCUCUUUUUUUGGAAGAGAGGAGGGACUCCAUAUAUGCCGACAUUACUGAGGCGCCGCCCUUCCAUAUGGAUCCUCGUGGAUGUGGAAAUCACACGUGUGUUAACCUCCUUAUGUUCAGGAGAGGUCCCUUUUCUACCCGACGGGUGGUAAACAUGGGGGGACAUCUCCAAUUGGGUAAAUGGCGACUCACAUGACCCCGAUUUUCUAUUUGUUUGAAAUAGUAUAGACGAGAUGAAGAGGAAUGGGGUCGAUAGCAAAUGGUUCAAAGAAGCGGUACGAUUCCUAACCGAUUUUUUGAACUUAAUCAAUUCCUCUCUUCCCCUUUUUAGCCAACACCAUCAACCUUGGGCAAAGCCAAAAAUUUGAUGAAUAGAAGGAGAUCAGAAAGAUACGCGGACGACUUGACCAUAAGGUCGGAUGUUUCCGUGAGCAGUAAGCUGCGGAUCUCCCCUUUUUGGGGGGGAAAGCUGGUGGCCCUUUUGGCGUGUUAAUUCUUUCGACGGGGCGGCCUGAUUCGUUCGGUAGAUCCGGUCGAGGUGGUUUUCGUUUACCAGCGCGUAGGUGGUCUAAGUUCCUAUGACCGAGUCUUUCUGGCCCCUGUGAACAUAUUUUCUUAAUGUAUUAAAGAGGGCCUCUCUAACCGGUGAAAAGUGGUAGGUGUCCACUAACGGCUAUUCCUGGCUCGGCUCCGAUAACGCAAUUCCGGGAGGAGUCGGUAGUUGGGCACUGGAUCCCUUCGGACCUGGAGAACGUGUGACGCUGGGUCGGGGUUUGGUGAACCAACAGGUCGCUCCUCUAGUUGAAGUAUCGGGCCCCUUUUUCGUUGCCUAGGUUACACCUUCGGAAUACCCCAGACGGGGAUUUCGCUCUACUCCCCCCAAUCUUCACUUUAGGCCACGCCGACUCUCCGUCGUGGAAUUAGACCAAGGGGAAUCCCCAUAGGACCCCGUCUCCCGUAUCUUAUCUUUCGCACGUAGGAGAUCGAGACACAGCCUCAGGGCUAUGGGGAAAGUAGAUCGAUUGCCCUAGAUAGACAACUACAUAGAGGGUCUCUACAAGUCUAUAAAGAAGUUUCAAAAAAUUUUUCGGUAGUAGUCCGGUCGCACCCGAACAAUAAUAUUCCAGAGGGAAAUGCACCUAAGAUCAAAUAUUUUGAGCCGGCUUCCGUGGAAAAUUCAGACUUUCUUUUUGAUGCUGCGAUCACAUAAAAACAUAAACUUUGAGGCUCAAUAGCUAAAUACAUGGCAAUUGAAUCAUGAGCCGGGAUCAUUAAGAGCAUACUGCGAGUAGGAAGUGGAAUUAAUACAAUGGAUUCAGAAGCAUCAAACCUCUCUUGUUCGAAAGAAUCGAAACACAUCGAAAUGGUACCAGCCGUACUUAAUAAUGGAAGGAUUUGGCAGAAAUAUGUAGAAUUGUCCCUCCUAAAAAGAUUAUUCCGGAAUAAAUGGGCAAUAGUUAGGAGAGGUGCGCCAGCGGCGAGCAGAAGCAAGGUUAUUAGAUACCGAAGGAAAGCCCGGCCAGAACCACACGUGCAAGUUUCCCUGCAUGUGGCUCGUCCGUGAUAACUUCUUCGGAUUUGCGUGAACUAGCGGACCGAUCACUAAGUGGGAUGCUCCCUCCAGCAUGAGCGAACCUUUUCAGAACUGCUUAGGAAUGGGCGCCACUAUCCCAGCCCGGAUCCAGCCAGGUUCUAUUGAUCAUGUCCCCUUCCCAACAGUUGUACCUUGUCUUGGGGCGUCUUUGGCUUUACUCGAUCAAGCCCGCCGGAAAAAGAAAAGUCUUUCUCUUCCCGUCCCGGGUCAUAGUGAGGCGGAGGUGCGUCCACAGAAGAGGAAAGAGCAAUGCAUCUUGCUCAGCAGGCGUAGCUUGGAGUGGGAGUGUUGCGGGGGAAAGGUAAGGAAAGUGGCCUAAGAGAGGAAGCCAAACCAACCAGGGCCUAUUGAGCGCAGCUAAGCUAAUAUGCGCCGGAGAAAAGAAAGCUUACGGAGGUAAGCUCUAUUCGGUCCGGAGCAUUGAUUCCCCAUAACGAAUAGGCUAACUCUAUCUCUCAAUUGCCUAUCCUGUGCUCGAGAAGGUCCCCCAGUUCCUCGGCUGCACCUCGAGGUGCAUUUAGUUGUCUAACUUUAUACUCGGGAUAUUCCCCACUCCAUGGCACCUUUCGCUCAUCUAUUCAGCCCGCCCGUCCAGACGCGGUGCCCUUUCGCAUUAUCAUCUACCGCCCUUUCUUUCCUCCCGUCCCUUCACGCAUGAAGAUCGUCGUAUGUAUGUUCGACUUCGGUUGCCGGUGCAAUAGAAUAGGUAGGAGUACAUUAUGGCAGGAUCAGUCACCUGGGCAAACCAACCUUCCUCCAAGAAGAAUUGUGCUAUGCCCCCCCGAUAUCCCUAUAGAGCGAAAGAGCUGCCUGGUGAUCCCUAGGUUGCAGCACGUCCGGUCGUUAACUCCUCGCGCCGCUGCCGCCGUUUCUAGGACCGACCGACGCCUCACCUGCACAGGUACCUACGUAGUGUAGUGUCGGUCGCACAUUCAUAAUAGCGUUCGGACUCAUGUGCCUUCCAGAACCAGGGGAGUUCCCUUGCUCCUGCUGCGUACGAUUAGCCAGCCUUGCGGCGGCAAAAGGAUUAGGACGUCCCCCCAUGCUACGGUUCCCUGCGGUCCGGCCGCAUUAGGUUAGGGAGCUGGGCGAUAAUAGCUCCUCCGCAUCCCAAGCGCGCUGCCCUCCUAGGCGCGCAACACUAAGUAAUCCAAGCCAACCCACAUUACUGACUAACGGUGGAUAAUCAUCUUUCUUAGAGGUACUAAAUACAACUCCAUGAAUGAGCAAAAUGAAGGUUGCGUUAAUGAUAAAGAUCUCUGGGGAAACCGCUAAAAAAAGAUUGAACAUGUGGGAGGGAGGAGAGAUAACGAAUUCUGCUUUCAUUUCCCCCGUUUUCAAAAUCACAGAGUUACUUACGGAAUGUCAAAUCUUUCUCGACGCCGGCCAGGCCGGACAUCAAAUUGAGGGGGCCCACCUCACCUCUCCCCUUCCCCUGGUCAAUGGCGGUGACUUGAUUGACCAGGGCCGCCCCACUACCCCCCUACGACGAUUUUUCGAUUGGUCUUCGGACCAAGUCGAAGAGGAAGCGCUCGUUCAUGUCGUCCCCCCACCGCUCGGGUUGACUCUCUCUCUUGAUAGCAUUUAAGAGAUUUCGGAGAGCGUUGACAUCGGCUUCCGGGGACUGAUACUCAAAAUUCUGGGCCAUUUCAUCCGCAGAUCCGAGAAAGUCGAAGCUUUCUCUGCCUCUUGCGCAGUAUUUGCCGCAGAAAGAAGCCCAUACCCCCACAAUAAUGUUUGCAAAAUUUUUUUAGGAGUAGGGCGUCAGCCUUACGAAUUUGCUUUCGUAGUUUCUCCUUUUGAGCAUCAUUAUCGUCGUUAGGAAGGCCGGGGGCGGCGGGCCCGCGUGGAGCCGGGGUGCCGUCGGCACCAAUCCGUUGGUCUUGCGUUUCCAUAAGGUAAGUCCAAGCCGACCUCCAUAAAGCGCGAACCAACAUCCGUGAUACGAAAACAAAAAGAAGAAGUAGGACCAAACCGAGAGUUAGCAGUAUUUCCAAGGAUGGACUUCGCGCUACGGAAUGAAUCGAGGAACUGAGGACAUUUCCAAUACCGAAAAAAUCGGCACCACCCAUUGAUUUUGCACCUUCUAACAUCUCGAGACGAUAAUUUGCUCGUCACGUUCCUUCGCUGCUCUUUCCUGGAUUCUUCGUCGAUUCCUCUUCCCCACCCCGCGAUCCAUAGUAUAUUCCAUUGAUAGAGAGCCAAUUCCAAUAGACUUAUUGAACGUUCCCAUUGGCGUGCAUCCAGUAGGAAUUGAACCUACGAAUUUGCCAAUUAUGAGUUGGGCGCUUUAACCAUUCAGCCAUGGGCGAGUGAACUAGGUCUUUUUUUGGGGUUCCAGAAAGAACGUCAAAGAAAGGUGACUUAGACUUCUCCUUCGACUGAGACGGAGACUGAACGAGCUGCUUCGGAAAGUCAUAUGGGUCUUUUGGCUCGCAAUAAAGCUAGGGUCCUGAUCGAGCAAGACGUAGUCCUAUCUAUCUACCUCUCCAGACACAAUAUCUUGAGUACCUAUGAUGGUGACUACAUCUGCUGGCAUGUGAUGUUUGGACAUAGAAUCGAGUCCUUGUGAAUGGGCAGAGCCAGGUGCUCUUAUUUUACGACGGUAGGGACGAUUGCUUCCAUUACUGACAAGAAAGACACCAAAUUCUCCUUUAGGUGCUUCAACUGCGGUAUAGGUAGAAGGAGCUGGUACGGAAAAACCUUCUGUAUAAGGUUCGAAAUGGUGAAUUGAGGUAGAGUAGACCGAUGAUCCUGUAGUCAUUUGGCCGGCUAUGGAAAGAAAAAGCUUGCAUCUGCUCCCCCUAAACUAUAACUGGUCCCAUCUCUCUCCAAACCUAACGUGGUAGUUUCCCAUCAUAGGGCUUUCUAUCUAUAGAUUGAGCCAUUACCCACCAAGGAUCCCAUUCGUUCAGAAUGAAGUUGACUGCUUCUAUGGAUAAGGCGGAGCGUCCUUGGUUCAGCAUUAUAGCACAUAGGCUUCGGCGCUACUACAGCGCUUCGCUAACUCGAAGCGCCUCGCUAUGAGAAUGACGCUUCGCUAACGCGUUGCGUUGUCAGCUUUGCUACCGACGCUUCAUCUUAAGUGCUUUGCUACCGAGGCUCAGCAUAAAGGACGCUCCUAUCUAUAGAAGCGCUUCGUUCCGCUUCGCUAACGCUCGGCUAAGUCGUCGAACCCUCGCGCUGACCGUUCGCUUUCUCAGUAGCGAAAGCGCUUCUCUUUGCCCCUUAACUUAAAUAGAAGGACAAGAAAGAGAUUAUUGGUUUUCUUGCUCCCGCUUCUUCAUCUGCGCUCGUCAAGCCAACUUAGCUUUUUGGGAGGUGAAACAGCGGUUGAAGCGGACAUUUCGAAAUGACAGCAUCGAAGAUAUUUAUAUACACGGUCACGGUUAUUCCGGACUGCGUUCCGGAAAAAGUAGCCUACUUGACAGAAAGGGCGGGCACUCUCGGCUCGGAGGUAGGCACUCUCGUGUUUCAACCCCACGUUACUUUGAUAGUUGUGGGGCACUGUGUACUUACAGCCUCUACGAGUUGCAAGUGAAUGGGGCCGGUGCGUGGCGAACGGAACGGUUCAUCAAGCCAUUUCUCGCCUCAACCCCCUAAAUAGGAAGAGGGGUACUUUACUAAUAGGGGGCAAUUGCAUCGCACCUGACUGUGAGGGACCUCUCGAUACCUUAUCACUUCGUAACUAGUGGCCGGUUUCCCGUCGCGGAAGCCUUUUCCCAGUGCGCGGAGCCCCAACGAGGAAGGUGUUAGUGGUUUCUCAUGGGGUCAAUAAUGCGUCUCCCUCUUUUUGUGCUACUCCUACGGGAAGAAGAUAAGAAAACGCGAAGCGUUCUCUUGGUUUCCCAACCUGUUGCUUCUAAAGGCUGCCCUCUCUCGGCUGGAUUUUGGUCCAGCCUACUACGAGGAUCCCGUAUCCCGUACAUCGUCUUUCUCCCUCCUGGGUUCCCGUGGUUCCUAUGCCGCCGCGUUUCCCGGUCCUUUUCUUUUAGUGCUUCGACCCGAAGCGAUAGCUUGACGCUAGUUCAGUGGAUAAGAUGGCUGCGCUCCAGCUCACUAAAGAAUGGGACGGCAGUGGUCCGCCGGCAAGCUCGUUCUGAUCUUGGACGCAGUACAUUGGAAUCCUGAAGCACCACCACGAACGCUACCGCGCGUGCGCCUACGGUGCGGUAAGGCACCACCCUGUUGUGCCAGCAGCCAACUCCGGCGUGUCAGCUUAGUUAUCCUCAUCAAGCCACAACCUUGAUGUCUAGCUUCCCAACUGGUAGACGGUUCCCUUUCCCCCAGAUCAAUGAAGAAGGGAGAAGUCAGUUGAUUCUUCCGAAGAACCGGAAGCGAAGCGCUAUGCCGGGGCGAGGGGACGGGAAAAGAAACUGCUCCGAAGAAAGAUAUUGGGGUUCCCAAUGCUUCUCCACGCCCAACGAGAUGCGCCAACCUCGGGAUGCUUUACUCCUAACCCCACGACGGUUCCGAGACGGAGCUUAACCUGAGUCUCGGUUAAGAACGGCGAUGAUCUACGUUUCACACGGCGCACGAUUCCAUGGAUAGUUUCAUUCGACAUCGUGAUGGAGGACAUAGCUUACGAUCAUCGGCUUUGAUCAUGCCACUAGGCAUUUGAUUAGGACAUUGCACAAUGAUCCGAACACUUUGUCGCAUCUCUUCGAUACGGAUACAGUAACGAUCAUAGCGAUCUCCUCUGGUACCUACUGGUACGUCAGGAUCCGAUUGGUCAUGAACAUCGUAAGGUGCUGCUCUUCGCGAAUCCCAGCAUACCCCAGGUUGGGAUGGGUAGGCCCACCACUUCACUUUCACUUAGGCCCGGGCCAAGUCAGUGGGGGGACCCUGUCGGGCUCCUUCCCCCCCAAAACAAACUGUACGUGGGAGUUUCCCUUCAUACGGCUCGAAUCAUUCUCAGAUGCCCCGAGAGGCAUCUUUCCUUAAUUGGGUGGUUCACGCGCGCGCAAACGAGCACCGGCCGCAACAGCAAGGAACUAUGACCAAUAGAGUCAGACACAGAGCGUCAUACUUUUUUUCUUGUGAUGGUUGAGGAGUUUCUUUCUCUGAGGGUGCGGGACGCUCGCGGAGUCCGUGCCUUCCGUACCACCACAGGUCGUUCUUGGGCAGAUCCCGCUCCUAAACAUAAGGGAGGGAUAGGGGGAAGGGGGCCGGGCCUAUCAUAUAAAGAGGGUUGUUUAAAGAGAACCCGGCCACCUAUUUUCAUUCGACGUUCCGGGGCGCCCGAUUCGAUCGACGAAUUCGGCGAGCUGAUCUGCUUUGAUCCAGGAGAAAGCCCAGUCAGCCACCUUUUCGGUGUAGGUCACGUGACCUACAGCUCGGUCUUCGCUUUUUGAGACUUCCUCUACCCACAUCUCUAUGUGCCCGCAGCACUUCCAUAUGGAGAAAGAUGGGCUUACCAUGUUCCAUCAAUAGCACCUAACCUAUGCCGAUUUUGGCGGACCGUGCUCCACCCCGGUGAACUCAUGCGGUUCCGACGUGCCCAGAGGCCAGAGGCGAAUCCGUUCACGGUCCUACGGACCAACACCAUUCGAAGGUGGAUGGCCCGCCCCGCCUAGAAUAGGAAUCUUUGACUGGGCUUACACACAUUCGCUCACUUACGCUGUCCCCCCUCAGCUCACCCUAGCCCCGGGUACGUCGUCUCCAAGGCUUCACACAAAAUCUUCACUGACAACAUAUGCAUGCUUUUGUAGGGUCAGGCAGAACCGUUGUUGCCUGAUGGGAACUUCCCCCAUAUUGCUAUCAAUGUCUUCAUGUCGCACGACCUCUUAACAUUACACCACUGAAUCCCCAAUCCUUUGCUUGCUGUGCAGUGACAGUACCAAUAUCCACUAAUCGUUGUUUCCAGAUACGGUUGCCGGUUGACAUCUCUUCUAAUUCGUCGAUACGAGAAGCAAAUUGUUGUGUGGAGGAAUCAAUAUCUCGACAUAAGCCAAGAGGCAGAUCUUGUGCCACUCCACCAGGUCGUAUGAAACUGGCAUGCAUCCUGGCUCCCGGGACUCUUUCAUAGAAUUCCAACAAUUUCUCCCGCUCCUCAAAAGCCCAAAGGAACGGAGUUGAUGCUCCCACAUCCAUAGCAUGAGUAGUUGAAGCAAGUGAAUGAUUUGAAAUUCGAGUUAUUUCACGGAAUAACACUCGUAUAUAUUGAGCUCGUAAUGGUACCUCGAAAUUCAAAAGUCUCUCUACGGCUGAAGAAUGAGCGUGUUCUUGGGCCAUCGUAGAAACAUAGAUAGGGUCGACGACGGAACGAACAACGAAACUUUACGACAGCUUUUUCGUACACGUUCACUUGCAUCACAUACACAAGUGCUCUCUGAACCGUGCAAUAAGGUCACCCAUAACACGGCUCUCCCACUGGAGUGACCUUAGCCCCGGGCCAUGCUAUUCAAUGAUAUUGGAAAAAUGGCAGCGUAACUUUUUUUUAUAAUCGUCUUGAAAGCUGGGCGCCUUUUGAGGGAGGGAAAGCGUUUCAAUAGGAGCCCUACUUCUUUCAGUAGCAAACAUAUUAAGAGUUUCCGGGCGGAGCGCACCUUUGGUACUUCAGUAGGGCAAGCAGUUUGAUAGUGACUUCUUUCUUAGGGUAGGGCGACGAAAGGCUACUUCAAUGACGGAAACGUCAUAGGGUCGCCUUUGGAAGCUAAAGCGGCGAAAGUUGUUGAAAGCCGGGAGAAAAAGCGAAAGCUUGCUCGAAACGGCCCUUGACCCUAACCCUCGGAAGCGAAGACGCAAAGCGUCACUUUUCAAAAGGAAGGAGUGAGGCUGACUGAAUCCAUCCAUAAACCCGGAAACGAAACGAAGUUCGUUCCCGCAACCACUUUGGUACUUUGCUUCUUAUAGUCAAAGUGGGGGACUUGCGCUUGAAUUGAAGUAGCGCCUUUUGAAUAUGAGUGGGGCUCCUAGGUGGCGCGUUCGUGGAGCCAAACCGAAGGAAGAGCAAAAGGAAGGUUGGGCGAGGCCACCCGGCCUCGAAUAGGAGGGGGCUUAGCUCUGGAUCCCGCCUGCUUGCAGAAAUGAAUGGAUCAGAAGGGGGGCUGGGUUCUAUUUCCGGGCCGGGCGGGAGGUGAAGGCCAGAAGAAGAAGAGAAGUGCGCCUUCCCGGUAAGGAAGAAGAGAAAAAGGUGCUGUCAUCUAUCUCGACCAGUUUCCCGAGGCGUUGGAAAUCAAGACCGGCUCAGAGAAUCACUGGCGUGGUUUCUCCCCCCCCAUCGUUUCGCCAACAAAGAAGUCAUCCUUGACUUGACGAUUGACCAUUCCUUCCCUACCGAGCCGCCUCUCUUCGCCAUUCGAAGUACUUACCUCUGCCUUCCUUUGUUUAUAACAUACCAACCUUUCCAAUCACUAAUAAAAAAAAAGAAAUUUUGUUAAAAAAAGACUUCGUCUGUGAUUUUCUCGGCCCCAAGGGAGUUUACUCGACCCAUUCUCCAGUCUCCCGCACUGCUCAAGUGUGCGACUCCGUAUGAGGACCUCCUUCCCUUUUGCCUCUGCCCACUCUCCGUUCACACGGUUAUCAAAGCGGAGGAAGGGUGGGCAGCAGGUACCACGAGCCCUCUGUCCCACACAUCUAUCAAGAAGCAAGUGUAGUUCACCGGUUCCACCGAAUGCUCCUAUCUCUCGGCAAAGAUCGUGUGAGUGUGCAGUUAUGCUUCGGAUGCUUCGCCAUGGAAUAGAUCGACUCAGUUCCCGUUCUUUUCCGGUGCACUCGCUUUAUAUCUCCGACACACAAGGAAGGACGCGGUGGGAAGGAAGCAGCCCUAGCCUCUGUCCGGCCGAUCAUUCCGCUGGCAUCUUGCAUUCACGCCUCCGUUUGACUGCCGCUCGGGGAUGUAGUUGUAGAUACGUGAGUCUUAGUGGGUCGUUGGCUCCACCUGUUAUCUCCUUCUACGACAUGCUGUUGUCGUCGCCAUAUCAAAUAUGUCACUUAGUAAUAUCUGCCUCGCUGCGGGUCAGCACCUCCGAAAGAAACGGAGGACUUCAUUCAGUGACUCCGCGAUCGCCCUCUGAACGAUCAGAAUAAGGUAAAGCUUGAAGAUAAGUUUUGUACUCUAUUAAUUUCUCAGUCCCUCUAGUCGGGUGGGCGCCGGCCGGUCUUUCGGCCGGAUCCCCCUGAAAACCGUACGUGCGGGUCUCCCCGCAUGCGGCUCACGCCAUUCGAGGUGGCCCAGCCCAGCAUUCAUUCGCAAAUCCAGUAGUGAAAUUGAGACUGCUCGACCUCGGAAGCUAAUUCGCGUGUAGGCAGCGCUGUCUGUCUACCGUCUAUCUAUUCAUUGAUACAUUGGCUCGCUCCCUCCCUCUUUUUCCAAGAAUGAAUGAGCCGCUCGGAAAAAGCCUUCCAUUUCCGUCAAAUGACCCGGCCUCCCCUGGCUCUUCCACCGUCCGGGCUCCCUUUCCUCCCUAUGCUCCCCCGGCGCAGGCCUACCACGCUUCGCGCCUGCGGCGUUUUCGCCAGACGGUCUUUGCCAGUAGUGCCAUCCUCCCCGCAGGCUGUCUGUAUGGGUGGGUUGUCCCUUGCUGCUACGUUCUGUUAGGCGCUAUGAAUUACAGGAAAUUAAGUGGUUGACUUGGACAGCAGGCGGGUUACACGUUCCACUGUGCCGAGAUGUGAGGUGCAGGUGGUGAUGAUCACCCCGGGGUAUGCGCUAGCGCCCUUGACGGGCACUCCAGGACCCGCCAACGCUCGUGAAAACCCAGGUCGGUCGGUCCUCCAUUCAUCCGACCAGAUGUGUGGAUAACGAGGCCACCUUCACAACCUUCUCCCUUCUAUCCCUAUCCAAAGUAAGGUAGGGCGGUUCGCUUGAGUUGCUCAACCGCCCCUUUGCCCGGUGCUCAUGACGCGCUACGGAACCUCCACCGUGCCGGGGGACCGAGCAGGGCAUAGCUAGCGGCAUAGGAGCCUACUCAGCGUCAGCGGCUUCGUGCCGCACUGGAGUGAUCCAAUAUGUGGUUCCGCACGUUCCACCACUUCUCCGUUCAUUUCCAAUACUGAUCGUGAAACACCAUGAGCAGCAGGAUGUUGAGGUCCGGAAUUCGAAGUGAAAUUCUUGAUUUGCCCGUUCCUAGUCGUCAUGGGAAAGAAAGGCAGAAAGAAAUAAGAAAGAGAUUAUUCCCCUAGAGCUUGUCCAGUACCACCAGUACUAAAAAUGCAUCUCCUUCGCCCGCGCGUGUCUACCUGGCGCGCCGCCUUGCAUGCAAGCGAAGCGCUAUUGGCGGCAAUUAAUAGCUCACUGAGCGAUGAUUGAUGCAGUCAGUCAGUGCCCUCGAUUGUUCCAGAUAGAAGGAUCAUGGCGCCCCGGAACCAUGACAUCCAGCAGCAGCAGCAUCUCCUUGCGUGCAAGAGACUUCUAUGCCGGCCGUUAUUCCCGGCUCUGUGUUGAAAAAAAGCGGCAGCUAAAGCAAAUCUAAAGCUUAGUUGCUUUUUGCUUCUUAUUCUUUGCCAACCAACCACUUGGUACCAAGCAACCGGUUAGCUGUAGCGCUUUCAAAGUAGAAGAGUGGUCUCUUAUCUUAGAAGUGGUGGUGUAAGAAGCGCGCUAUCCUCUUUGUCUUGAAAGAAAGUGAGUAAGCGUAUACGUUAGAUAAGUAAGCAGCGUAAUAAGCCGGCCUUUUCAGAAAGUCCCAAAUUGAAGAAAGAAAAAAGUAAUGAAUGCCAGUGUCCCGGAAUAGAACAUAUGAUUGAUUGAAUGAAGUGGCUGGCUUGGCGAGAAAAAGAAGUGUUGGUCCCAUGCACCAUGCCUGCUGCCUGCUCUUGUCAUGCAGGCUCCCCACGCUGAAUAACAUGGGGGCUGUUUGCCUUUGGUAAAGAUGGGGAACACCUGCUCGCUGACCCCUCUCUUCCUUCCUAUGGACGACCAAAAGCAGGGUGCUCCCUAUUACUAAUCUAUAGGGCAGGGCGUAUAAGACUUGAUUUGCGGCAGUCAAGGUCUGUCUUGUAUAAGCGAGCAAAUUGGUGCCCCCUAUAUCUUAAAGGCCUUUUCUAGUUCUGGCAGGGCUCCUGUUCUAUCUAAGCGGGAGCAGGGUUCGCCCUCCGCCAUUAAAGAAGGGGAGAUGGAAAGGCAACCGUGCAGAAUGCAAGGCGUGUGUGGAAGCGAGCAGGCAGGAAUGAAGGCUGCGAACGAUACACUCAAUUUAUUACCACCUGGUGUAGUGGUGCUUCG